rnacentral:rRNA from 1 species
CGCUGGCGGCGUGGAUUAGGCAUGCAAGUCGAACGCGAAAGUUCCCUUCGGGGAGCGAGUAGAGUGGCGAAAGGGUGAGUAAUGCUUGGAUGACCUGCCCUCGAGACGGGGACAACAGUUCGAAAGGACUGCUAAUACCCGAUAGUCCGGUUUAGAUGCGUCUAGAUCGGUAAAUGGUGCUUCCGCUCGAGGAGGGGUUCAAGUCCUAUCAGCUUGUUGGUGAGGUAACGGCUCACCAAGGCGAUGACGGGUAGCCGGACUGAGAGGUUGGCCGGCCACAUGGGAACUGAGACACUGUCCUGACUCCUACGGGAGGCUGCAGUCGAGAAUCUUCUGCAAUGGGCGAAAGCCUGACAGAGCGACGCCGCGUGGAGGAUGAAGGCCCUCGGGUCGUAAACUCCUGUCACAUGUUAUGAAACGCACAGGUCUACCUGUGCGCUGACAAAAGCAUGAGNGGAAGUUCACGGCUAACUCGUG